CUUGCUCUCUGGUGGCGAGUGGCGAACGGGUGAGUAAUAUAUCGGAACGUGUCCAAUAAUGGGGGAUAACGAGUCGAAAGAUUCGCUAAUACCGCAUACGCCCUACGGGGGAAAGCAGGGGAUCGUAAGACCUUGCGUUAAUGGAGCGGCCGAUAUCUGAUUAGCUUGUUGGUGAGGUAAAGGCUCACCAAGGCGACGAUCAGUAGCUGGUUUGAGAGAACGACCAGCCACACUGGAACUGAGACACGGUCCAGACUCCUACGGGAGGCAGCAGUGGGGAAUUUUGGACAAUGGGGGCAACCCUGAUCCAGCCAUUCCGCGUGAGUGAAGAAGGCCUUCGGGUUGUAAAGCUCUUUCGCAAGGGAAGAAAACUUAUGAUCGAAUAAAUCAUGA
rnacentral:rRNA from 1 species